UGCCAGCAGCCGCGGUAAUUCCAGCUCCAAUAGCGUAUAUUAAAAUUGUUGCAGUUAAAAAGCUCGUAGUUGGAUUUCUGGUUGGGCGCAUUUGGCCCGCUUCGGUUACGAGGUUGAGUGCCGUUUUGCGCCCGCCAUCCUUCUAGAGUACGACUCUCCCUUUACUGGGUUGGGCCGGAAUCUAGAUCAUUUACUUUGAAAAAAUUAGAGUGUUUAAAGCAGGCUUACGCUAUGAAUACAUUAGCAUGGAAUAAUAAUUUAGGACUUUGGUCUUACUUUGUUGGUUUCUAGGACUAAAGUAAUGAUUGAUAGGGAUAGUUGGGGGUGCUAGUAUUCAGCGGCCAGAGGUGAAAUUCUUGGAUUCGCUGAAGACUAACUUAUGCGAAAGCAUUCACCAAGGAUGUCUUCUUUAAUCAAGAACGAAAGUUGGGGGAUCGAAGACGAUCAGAUACCGUCGUAGUCUCAACCAUAAACUAUGCCGACUAGGGGUGAGUGAACGUUGCUUAUUCGACUUCAUUCGCACCUUAUGAGAAAUUAAAGUCUUUGGGUUCCGGGGGGAGUAUGGUCGCAAGGCUGAAACUUAAAGGAAUUGACGGAAGGGCACACCAGGAGUGGAGCCUGCGGCUUAAUUUGACCCAACACGGGAAAACUUACCAGGUCCAGACAUAAUAAGGAUUGACAGAUUGAAGAUCUUUCUUGAUUUUAUGGGUGGUGGUGCAUGGCCGUUCUUAGUUGGUGGAGUGAUUUGUCUGGUUAAUUCCGUUAACGAACGAGACCUCGACCUGCUAAAUAGUUUGGUGAAUUCUCCGGGAUUCAUUUACGACUUCUUAGAGGGACUAUCGGUGAUUUAGCCGAUGGAAGUUCGAGGCAAUAACAGGUCUGUGAUGCCCUUAGAUGUCCUGGGCCGCACGCGCGCUACACUGAUACGUUCAUCGAGCUUACAACCUUGUCUGAGAGGACUGGGUAAUCUUUUUAAACCGUAUCGUGCUGGGGAUAGAUUGUAAUUUUUAUUCUUCAACGAGGAAUUCCUAGUAAACGCUGGUCAUCAACCAGCAUUGAUUACGUCCCUGCCCUUUGUACACACCGCCCGUCGCUACUACCGAUUGAAUGGCUUAGUGAGUUUCAGGGAUUGUUGUAUCUGCGUGGUUCGCCAUUCUGGUACAUCCGAGAACUGAAUCAAACUUGAUCAUUUACAGGAAGUAAAAGUCGUAACAAGGUAUCCGUAGGUGAACCUGCGGAUG
rnacentral:rRNA from 1 species